rnacentral:lncRNA from 10 species
GCUGAUAUUGUGCAGUGUGGAGAGUGCUUAGGAGAAUGUGCUAUUUGUUUUCACCCUUUUCCAGGCCUAGUCAUCAUGGUAAAGCUCAAGGCCAACAAAAGACAAAUGCAGAGGCGAGGCUGCCACUGGACAAAAUAUCAUUCCUUCUGUGGAUAACUGAGGGGAGAAAAAAGAAAUGGAGGUUAAAAAUAGAAAAGGAACUAAAACAGAGAUGAAGAGAUUUUUGAAAUGAAAACUUGGGCAGGACCAAGGAAGACAAGCAGUAAUAAUCCUGGACUUUGAAAGUAUUUUCAGUGGCAUCUGUGAGGAGGAAAAGGGAGAGAUGCAUGUUCCUGGCAUAGAGUUACCAAAGGCAGAUGCAAGCUGCAAAACUCUGGGUAUCAGAGGAGAUCAAUUCUCAGAGGCUUUUCCAUCUCAGGCCUCCAACAUAUCCCUCAGACACAGAUAUUUAGGAAGCAAGGCCCAGAAGGUGGGAGUCAAAGUGUCUUAGAAUGGGGUUCCCCAACACGCAGACUUAAGGAUUUUAAUGUGAGAAUUUUAUUUAGACAUAAUACAAAGAAAUAAAUGCAGAGUAUUAACGCAUCAUUGCUGUGGUCAACCGGGGCUCAGUCCCUCUAGAGACCCCUGGAACACUUUGAAGCAUUCUCUACUGAGUUGGUCCACCUGAGGGGUGAGAGCUGGUACAUCCAUCCACCAACUCUUUUUUGCUCGUGAAGACAUUAACUGUCCAGUGCUUCUAGCCUGUUCCUGACCAAAUUUGCUCCUGCAGCUGGAAAAAAGCCUUUAGGCAGAGUCACAGACACUUGCAGUGAGAGGCCCUUGAUGUAUAAGGGAUAUGGGCAGGACAAUGGUGUGUCUGAUGGAAAGCACCAAGUCAUAAAAUAAGAAAGACCAUGAACGUUCAGAGGAAGACCAAUCUCAUCAAGAACUCUUCUCACUGCGGAUAUUUUCAGCAAUCCUACAGAAUCAUUUAUACAUCUCUUAUUGACACUAUGGAAAAGAAGGUCCUGAAAAGUAUCUUUCUAGUGAGUAUGAAAUGGUAAAGGGUUGAAUAUCCAUGUUGUAGUCAUAAUUACUGGUUUAAGAUGUAUGAAACUCAUAUUUAGUAUAAGAAAACACAUUUCUAAUGGUUUUCAGAAGUGUACUCCAAACAUUAUUUCCCCUAAGCUGAUUCUCACCAUAUGAGUUUAAAUUCUUGAACCACAAAUCCCUGGCCUCAGAGUUCUUAAGAACAUGAUCUCCAUAGUUGAAGAGCACUAUUGUAUAGCCUUUUGUUAUUUCGUUUUUUACUUAUAUUGUUCAACCCCAUUAGAGACUGAAUUCUUUCUCUAUAAUGCUGCAGUUCUCUGUCCCCCUCAUAGCACCCAGAACAAUGCCUUAUACAUACUAGUUUUUCAAUAUGCUUGUUGAUGCCAUCCUAAAUUUUUUCAAUAGUUGCAUAGUUGUAUUUCCACAACUAUUAAGGAAUGAAAUACAUUUACAGGAAAAAUAUAUUUUGACAAAUAGCCAAAGAUACGAACAAUCCACACAAGAGGAGGAGGUUCACAUAAGAGUAGAAAACAGGCCGAGCACAGUGGCUCACGCCUGUAAUUCCAGCACUUUGGGAGGCCGAGGCAAGAGUGGAUCACGAGGUCAGGAGAUUGAGACCAUCCUGGCUAACACAGUGAAACCUUGUCUCUAUUAAAAAUACAAAAAAUCAGCGGGGUGUUGUGGCACAUGCCUGUAGUCCCAGGUACUCGGGAGGCUGAGGCAGGAGAAUGGCUUGAACCCAGGAGGCAGAGGUUGCAGUGAGCUGAGAUUGAUCCACUGCACUCCAGCCUGGGUGACAGAGCGAGACUUUGUCUCAAAAAAAAAAAAAAAAAAAAAAAAAAAAAGAAAAACAAAACACGGAAAACAUACCAAGCCUCUCUAAUGUUAAUAAUUUGAUUUGGUGGAAUCUAUUGUUUGGUCUGUUCAGAGCUUGAGACCAGCCUGGCCAACAUGGUGAAACCCCGUCUCUACUGAAAAUACAAAAAUUAGCCAGGCGUGGUGGUGGGCAUCUGUAAUCCCAGCAACUUGGGAGGCUGAGGCAGGAGAAUCGCUUGAACCCGGGAGGUGGAGGUUGCAGUGAGCCGAGACUGCGCCAUUGCACUCCAGCCUGGGUGACAAGAGCAAAAUUCUGUCUCAAAAAAAAAAAAAAAAAAGGGUCUCACUUUGUUACCCAGGCUGGAGUGCAUUGGUACAAUCACAACUUAACUGCAGCCUCGACCUUCAGGGCUCAAGGCAAUCCUCCCACCUCAGCCUAUUGGGUAGCUGGGAUCCACAGGUGCAUGCCAUCAUACCUGACUAAUUUUUUGAUUUAUUUUGUAGAGACGACGUCUUGCUAUGUUGCCCAGGCUGGUCUCGAACUCCUAGGCUCAAGCAAUCCUCUCUCCUCAGUCUCCCAAAGUGCUGGGAUUACAGGCAUAAGCCACCGCACUCAGUCUUAUUGAGUUCUAGAAUGUAAUAAAUGCUAAGACCUUUAUGUAAUAGUAGCUUACAUUAUUGAAUGCUUACCAUGUGUUAUGCCAGUUCUAAGAGUUUACAUAUAAUUAAUUCUCAUAAUCAUAUGAGGUGGGUACUAUUAUUCCUAUUUUUUAGAGAGGAAACCAUGCCGCAGAGGUGGUAACUUUCUGAAGUUCACACGGAUGGUAAGUGGCAGAGUCAGGAUUUAAACACAGCCAGUCUGCCGGAGCUCACACUCUUAGCCAUACAUUAUGUAUUACCUCAUUAAACUUUGGAAAAUGUAACAUAAACCAAGCAGAUAAUUCAAAGGAAAGAAAAGACACAUGGAUAUGUAUAGAAGCACUCAUUAGUAUUACUAAAAAAUAGAAAAAGCUCACAUUCACGCCUAUAGAAAAAUAGGUAGACAGCAAGUAUGAUACAUUGAUACAAUAAAACAUUAUAUUGCUGGUAACUUAUGGGACUAUAGAAAACAAUAGCAGAUGAGAAAAAGUACAAUUUAGAAUGAUAAAAUAUUGGUUCAUAACAACUGUGCAAUUGUUUUUUAUGCAAGCAGUAGAAUGGAAGAAGUCUUUAGGGUUUGUGAAAACAUCGGAAUUUGAGGGUUUUUUUUUAGUACAUGUUGCUAUUGCUAUUUAGAUUUUUUUUCCAUUGUAAAGUUGAUUAAAUACCCAAUUAAAAGUAAAUUUAUUAAAUAUUUAAUAUUAAAGGAAGAGAGGCUUGUGAGGUUAAAACAGAUUUUUUAUUAGGAAAGUUUCAUUUGAAGACCAUAAAUAAAAAUAAUAAGGUACUGCAGUGAUGGUUAAUUUUGGAUGUCAAUUUGACUGGGUUAAGGAAUACCCAGAUAGCUGGUAAAACAUUAUUUCUGGGUAUGUCUGUGAGAGUGUGCCCAAAAGAGAUUAGCAUUUGAUUCAGUAGAUGGAAUUAAGAAGAUCCGCCCUUAACAGUGUAGGUGGGCACAAUUCAAUUCAUUGAGGGCCCAGAUAGAACAAAAAUGUGGAGGAAGGGUGAAUUCACUCUCUCUUUUUGAGCCGGGAUGUCCAUUUUCUCCUGUCCUCAGACACUGGAGUUCCUGCAUCUCAGGCCUUCCUACUCCAGGACUUAGACCCAGCACAAACCUCCACCCUACCUGGUUCCCAGGCCUUUGGCCUCUGAUUGAGAGUUACAACAUUGCUUCUCUAGUUCUUAGGCCUUUGGGCUGAAUUACACCACCAGCUUCCCUAGUUUUUCAGCAUGCAGACAGCAUACGAUGGGCCUUCUCAGUCUUUAUAAUCCUGUGAGCCAAUUUCCAUAAUAAAUCCCCUCUUGUGUGUCUAUACAUAUCCUUUUGGCUCUGUUUCUCUGGAAAGCCCUGACUAAUACAUGUACUAAUAAGAGAAAAAUUAUAAAUGAAGAAGGUAAACUCACAUUUGCUCACGUGUCCUUGAUCUGUUGUAAUCCUGCCUGCCCCCUAAAGCCUUGCUCCAGUGCCACCAUCCUGAAGCUGUCGACCAGAAGCUUCCUCUGGGCCAAUGUGAUACUUAAUUUGUUUCUCUCUCUCAAGGCACUUGCCUGUUUUCACCUUGUUUUAUUGCUGUCUGUGUAUUUGGCCUCCUCUUAACCAUAAGCCCUAUAAAGGUAGCUACCAUGUGUCUUCAUUUUUUAUUUUUUUACUGUAUUCAUUCUGAGGCAGACUCUCUGUUGCCCAGGCUGGAGUGCAGUGGGCCAAGAUGGCGCCACCUCCCGAGUUCAUGCAAUCAUUGUGCCUCGGCCUCCCAAGUAGCUGGAACUAUAGGUGCGCACCAUUAUGCCCAGCUAAUUUUUGUAUGUUUUAUAGAGGUGGGGUUUCAUCAUGUUGGCCAGGCUGGUCUUUAUCUGCUGAUCUCAAGUGAUCUGCCCACCUCAGCCUCCCAAAGUGCUGGGAUUGCAGGAGAGGCAUGAGCCACUGCAUCUGGCUGUGUCUUCAACAUCUUUGUAGGCCCCAGUUUUGCCCCACAUAAUGCCUUACACCUGGUGGAUGCCGAACAUAUGCUUGUCACAUGAUUUAACUCUUUUCACAAAAGUAAAUGAAAGACUUCGAAGACACAGUUUUGAACAAUAAGCAACUGUGAUCAGGGAUAUUAGAAUGGUUGUCCUUAGGAAAGUUCUUUCUUCUGCAAGAUUGAGGAGGUAAGUGGUGCAGCUCUGAUGGACCCCAGAAGGACAGCAGGAACAUAAGGUGAUUUUGAUUCCAUGAGCUCUGAGGACAACAUGUCUGUUUUUUUUUUUUAAAGGCAUGUUUCCUUUUCUAGCUCCUUUAAUCAUAGUUCAUUGGAAUGAACAAAGUGGAUUGGACAUUCUUUUUCUAUUUUUAUUUUAAUUUUAGAUUCAGGGGGUACAUAUGCAGGUGUUACAAGGGUAUAUUGCAUGGGGCUGAGGUGUAAGCUUCUAUUGAUCCAUCACCCAGAUAGCGAACAUAGUAUCCAGUAGGAAGCUUUUCAGCCCUUGCUCCCUCCCUCCUUUUGGAGUCCCCAGUGUCUACUACUCUCAUCUUUAUGAAUAUUCUUUCUAACUAAUAGAAGUUUUCUUGUCAUGCCAAUGACUAUAUUGGUCUUUUACCAAGUAGAAAAUGACAUAUGGUGUCAAAAAUGAAUUUUUCAAGGCCCAAGGAUUCUAAACCCUCUUCAUGCUGAUUGCAACCUUGAAGACAAUGUAGCUCUGACUUGGAUGGCAUAUAAAAUGUCUGAUGGUUCUUCCUUCCCUCUCUGUCUGACGUGCAGGAACACCUUGAAAGUUGGAAUUGUAAGCUCUUUGAGUUCAGUAACUAGGUUAUAAAUUAUAUACAAUAUAUGAACAAUGCCUAGUUAAAUUUUAACUGCUAUGAUUUUAUCUACUACCAGUCACAAAGAUGUAAAUGCCUCCUUUCCCUACUCGUCUGUAAGCAGAUAAUUCCUCUGUCUUGCUCAUUAAAAUACAUUGAGUCCCCCUUGGAAUUUUUCUUUGCGUAGCUUUUAGUUUAUUGUCUGUCCUUUCAUCACUAGAAUUUAAGUUUCAUGAGAGCAAAGAUAUUGUCUGUUUUGUUCAACUGUUGUGUCCUGAAAGCCUACAACAGUGCCU